CAGGAAUGAACCACUGUGUUCUAGCCAUGUCCUAUAAUAAACAAGCCUCUCGUCACCAACUAUCAGCGUCUAAGUACUUCCGGAACCUGAGCCCUAGGACCAUACGUCAGGACUACCGGGCAUGAUGACUCCUUGCUGUCCCCAGUCCACCUGGCCUUGCUGCUGUUCCAGUUUCAACUGUUCUGCCGGCGGUUAUGGAACCCCUACCUGUCCCAGACCUGCUGCUUUCAACUCUUAAUGAUCGGCUAUGAAAAGCCAACUGACAUUUAUUCCUGAUUAUUAUUUGACCAUGCUUGUCAUUUAUGAACAUUUUGAAAAUCUUGGCUCUCUCUAAUUCUCUCCUUCUCUCUUUCUUUCUCUCUCUCGGAGGACCUGAGCCCUAGAACCAUAUGUCAGGACUACCGGGCAUGAUGACUCCUUGCUGUCCCCAGUCCACCUGGCCUUGCUGCUAUUCCAGUUUCAACUGUUCUGCCUGCGGUUAUGGAACCCCUACCUGUCCCAGACCUGCUGUUUUCAACUCUUAAUGAUCGGCUAUGAAAAGCCAACUGACAUUUAUUCCUGAUUAUUAUUUGACCAUGCUUGUCACUUAUGAACAUUUUGAACAUCUUGGCCAUGUUCUGUUAUAAUCUCCACCCGGCACAGCCAGAAGAGGACUGGCCACCCCUCAUAGCCUGGUUCCUCUCUAGGUUUCUUCCUAGGUUUUGGCCUUUCUAGGGAGUUUUUCCUAGCCACCGUGCUUCUACACCUGCAUUGCUUGCUGUUUGGGGUUUUAGGCUGGGUUUCUGUACAGCACUUCGAGAUAUUAGCUGAUGUACGAAGGGCUAUAUAAAAUAAACUUGAUUUGAUGAUUUGA